UUAGUGAAAUAAAUAGUAGCAGGAUGCAUGGAUCGACUGUGUAUUUAUGUCUUGUAAUAAUAUUUUGAAAUUUAUUUUCUAGUAAAAAAGCUAAAAUGAACCUUAAAGACGAGAAGACCCUAUCAAACUUAACAAAUCUGGUUUUAUUUUCAGAAAUUAAAAUUUAAUUUGUUUUACUGGGGCAGUAGGUGAAUUUGAUUUCACUUUGAAAUUGUGAAUUCAAUUCUGGGCAAAUCAAAAAAUUUUUAAUAAAGAAUAAGUUACUGUAGGGAUAACAGCAUAAUUUUUUUUAAGAGUUCUUAUUAUCGAAAAAGUUUGUGACCUCGAUGUUGGAUUAAGAGACCUAA
rnacentral:rRNA from 1 species